GUGAACCAUAAUUUAUGUAUAUCAAGGUCAGAGGGGCCCCCACAAAAGCCUAUGACUGGAACUUAUGGAUCAAAAGAAAUAAGCCAAACAUACUUACAAACAAACAAACAUUCGAGAUCGCGAGUCAUGUGUGGAACUGGCAAAAUCUCGUGCAGCUCUUUACGCUUAGCUCUUUAAGCCCUCAUUCAAUCGCAAUAUGUGCGUUUUGGCCAACGAUGGUCGAGUGUGCUGUAAUUUAAUUAAUUUAAAUUAAGCAGGACACGCUCUUACCCACCGAAAGUAAACGAAACAAGAGUUAUUCAUGGGCUUGGCGAAUGCGUAAUGCCCUUGCCAGCUAAAUGAAGUCCAUUGUGUUGGAUUAAUAA